rnacentral:rRNA from 1 species
UGAGUAACGCGUGGGUAACCUGCCCUUAAGUCUGGGAUACCAUUUGGAAACAGAUGCUAAUACCGGAUAAAAGCUACUUUCGCAUGAAAGAAGUUUAAAAGGCGGCGUAAGCUGUCGCUAAAGGAUGGACCUGCGAUGCAUUAGCUAGUUGGUAAGGUAACGGCUUACCAAGGCGAUGAUGCAUAGCCUAGUUGAGAGACUGAUCGGCCACAUUGGGACUGAGACACGGCCCAAACUCCUACGGGAGGCAGCAGCC